GCGCAGCAGUCGAGAAAACUCCGCAAUGCUCGAAAGAGUGACGGGGGAUUCCAAGUGCCUACGCUCAGCGUAGGCUGUUCAGAUGCCUAAAAAGCAUCUGGAGUAAGGGCUGGGUAAGACGGGUGCCAGCCGCCGCGGUAAUACCCGCAGCUCGAGUGGUAGUCGAUUUUAUUGGGCCUAAAGCGUCCGUAUCCGGUCUGGUAAAUGCUUGGGUAAAUCGUGGGGCUCAACCCUACGAAUUCCGGGUAGACUGCCAGACUUGGGACCGGUUGAGGAAGAGGGUACUUCAGGGGUAGGAGUGAAAUCCUGUAAUCCUUGAAGGACCACCAGUGGCGAAGGCGCUCUUCUAGGACGGGUCCGACGGUGAGGGACGAAAGCCAGGGGAGCAAACCGGAUUAGAUACCCCUGUAGU
rnacentral:rRNA from 1 species